rnacentral:tRNA from 1 species
GCCUGGCUGGCUUGACUGGUGGAGCAUAUGACUCUUGAUCUCGGGGUUGUGAGUUCAAGCCUCACGUUGGGUG